rnacentral:misc_RNA from 1 species
AGACACUGAUGAGGGGGAACCAGGAAGAAGACCCAAUGCAGUAGCCAUAUCCAUUACAGUUGGUGCAGAUCCAAUUGACCGUGGGGAAGGGACAGCAGAUCCAGUGGACACAUACAAUGGCCUCAGUUCUUCGUUGGUGUGAGCAAAGAAGCAGACCCGCCUAUUGCAACUGGUUCCAUCCUUGCAAAGACGAGUUCGGUACUGUGCUGGAUGUAGCCAACACUCAAAAACUCCAUGUGCAUAU